rnacentral:lncRNA from 1 species
UUAAAGCUUCUCUCCAGCCUUAACAUAAGCAUGCGCGGGUGCAAGAUUUGCAUCGUCGGAAGGAUCAAAACUACGUGCAUAGGACGCCCGAGCACUGCAGCUCGUCUCUAGCCUCAACACAAGCACGAGCCCAUGCAAGAAUGUAUCAUCGACCGGAUCCAAACUCCUCGCAACAGGGAGUGCGCAUAAGCUUCCGCGACACGAGCUCAGGCAAUACAAUUGAAUGACAUGCCCUCGCAGUGCAACAUCUGCCUAAUAACACGCCCAAGCUCGGAGAUCAUCUCCAGCCUUAACAUAAGAGCAUACGUCCGUGCAAGAACUGCAUCGUCGGCAAGAUAC